rnacentral:rRNA from 1 species
GAUCUGGUUCAGGAUGAACGCUAGCUACAGGCUUAACACAUGCAAGUCGAGGGGCAGCAUGAUCAAAGCUUGCUUUGAUUGAUGGCGACCGGCGCACGGGUGAGUAACGCGUAUCCAACCUUCCCUAUAGUAGUGGAUAGCCCGGCGAAAGUCGGAUUAAUACACUAUGUUAUUCAACGAGGACAUCUGAAAUGAAUCAAAGGCUUGCCGCUAUAGGAUGGGGAUGCGUCUGAUUAGAUAGUAGGCGGGGUAACGGCCCACCUAGUCGACGAUCAGUAGGGGUUCUGAGAGGAAGGUCCCCACAUUGGAACUGAGACACGGUCCGAACUCCUACGGGAGGCAGCAGUGAGGAAUAUUGGUCAAUGGACGGGAGUCUGAACCAGCCAAGUAGCGCGCAGGAUGACGGCCCUAUGGGUUGUAAACUGCUUUUAUCGGGGGAUAAAGUCACCCACGUGUGGGUGUUUGUAGGUACCCGAUGAAUAAGGACCGGCUAAUUCCGUGCCAGCAGCUGC